rnacentral:lncRNA from 1 species
UAACUUAGCUUGGUGACAACAAAGGGACAAACAUGGCUACAAGGGUUCAAAUGUUAAUAUAUAUGCUCCUUUCAGAUAACCAAAUGUCAGUGGAAUUAUAGCUAAUGCUUUGCAAAAGUAAAAAUAAUUAAAGAUGCUUAACACAAUUUAAUUAACUAACAUAUCGUUAUAACAUUAUCAAACACUCAAGAGCAUAUAAAAAUGAAUUACAAUAGAAGGAUGAAACUACUAAUAUUUCCCAGCGUCACUAUGUUUCAUUCUAACUCGAUUUUAUGAGUUUACAUGGUCCGAAAAUUACCUGGACAACAGAAAAAAGAACAAAUACAGCAGAGUCAGCUCUUUCCAAAAUCAACAGCAAAACAAUUAAACGGGCAACAACAAUAGCAAAAGACAACGACAACCGGCAGAUUCAAACCCAAGAAAAUAAACUAGAAAUACCCCAGCAAAACAGUACAAUUAUGUAACUCCAGAAAAAUCUUUCAAGACUACUCUAUUUUCCUUAAACAAGUUUUUCAAUUAAGAAUCAACUCACAAAAGCUGCUAAGGGAUAUUAUAGUUACUGAUUUUUUUCUCUUUUUUGUAUGUAGAGCUCUCUCAGUAAGAUGGAGUGUCCUCCUUCUUUUUUUUUCCUCAGAAUUAACAAGCUAUUUCAAGAUUAAAAAUCAAUCUUUCUGACAGAUUUUCCACAAAAUCUGCUCUUAAAUUCAAAAGCAAGACUUUUUUGGUUCAAUCUUGUCCAACAGAGAGUAUUUCAAACAAAAUCUGCCCUUCACUAUUCAAACAUAGGCUUUUAUUCAAAAAUUGUCCAAAAGUCUAUAUUUUCUUACCAAAUAAAUGACUUUUGAGUUUUCUACUCACAAAGUCUUGAAGCAGUCCAAAAAAAUAAAAUAUAAACAAACACCCUAUACUCUCACUUAAUUCUUCACUACCUCACUUCAACAAUACAAAAUUAUUUUACUACUUUAACAAGUGCAAAACAGAAAAUUUAAUAUUUCGAACAUCAAAAGCUAAUGCUAAAAUAAUUAAUAAGAGACAAAAUAAAAUAUGAAAAUUAAAAAUAAAAUAAAAAAUCAGCCAUGAAAAAGAAUAGGAUUUUUACCAUUUUACAAAUCAAAAGGCCGAAAAAUGGUGGUAUGCCAAAAGAGGGUAUUCGGGGAGGUUGCCGGAAUUUAGCCGGAUUUUGGUCGCCGGAUUAUUGGGGUAGAAUUGGAAUCAAUAGGUAGGUCUUGAGGAGUUCUAUCCAUUGAUGUAAUUAUUAUGGGGUGGUAGUGGCCGGAGCUUCAAGAAUUUGGGCAAAAAAGUGGCGGUUAAAAUUUUCUAGAUCUAAGAUUCAAGGAGUUUGAGGGGGUUUUGUAGGAUUUGGUUUGGAGAUAUGGAAAGAGGAGGUGUUGGAGAUUACAUGGUGAAAUUUUGAGAUGGUUUGGAGGUGGUCCGCCGGCGGCGGCAAUUUCCGGCCGGCGGCUGUGGGCGGAGCUGGGGCGGCGUAGAGAGAGUGAAGAGAGAGAGAAGAGAGAAGAAGGAGAAAAGAAUUAUGGGUGAAAAUGGGGACAAUUUUUAGAUUUUUUAGGCUUUAAAUACCUAAGCCAAGAGUGAAUGAGAUCCAUUGGAUCAAGAUGGAAUGGAUGGAUAAGAUUUGAUCUUGUUUCAUUUAGUGAAAUGACGUGGUUUUGAGGCAAAACUACGUAGUUUCAGACCCUUUCAAU